CUUAUUACUAACUGUUUUAACUUUGCGAUUUAAAUAUAUUUGCAGCUCAUAUCUGUUGUGAACAACUUUGAUGUGUGAAUUUCCUAUGUGAUUGUAUCGCAUUUCUGUGUUGUUAAAGGGAUAGUUUACUUUGAAAUUAAUUUUUGAUAUGUUUUAGCUUACCUCAAGGGCAUCCAAGAUGUAGGUGUCUUUGUUUCCACAGUAUUUUCCAUUUUGAUAUUUUUUGGUCAAACCGUUCUUGUCUGUCAGUCAUAUAAUGCAGGUCUAUGGUCACCACCUCAAAGAGCAUGCACAGAGAAGUCCAAAUUAAACAUGAUUUAAUGACUCGUAAAUGUAAGUACACAUUGCUAAGACACGAAACGAGCGGUUUGUGUGAGAAAACGAACAGUAUUUAUAUUGUUUUUACCUCUUGUACACAACCACGUCCUAUCUAACAAGUUGUUGAUUUGGAUCCUUCCUAGGAAAGUGAUGAAGAUGUCCAAAGAGAAGAGCAGAGUGGAGAACCUUUCACAUUGGAGCAGGAAAGUGAUGAAGAUUCCCAAAGAGAAGAGCAGAGUGCAGAACCUUUCACAUUGGCACAGGUGAGACAAAACUACAGUAUUCUGUCUCUCUAUUUAUAUGUAUCUCUCUCUAUCACUCUGUCAAUCUAUCUACCCAAAGAGAAGAGCAGAGAGCAGAACCUUUAACAUUGGAGCAGGAAAAUGCCCCUCAAGAAAUACGUGAUGAUAUCCACUCUCAUGGACUAACGGAAGGGCAAAGUUGCAUCUCUAUUUUCUCCUUUGCAUUGAGACACAACACUACUAGUGUAUUGAUGGAAGACCUGCUGAAACUUCUAAAGUUACAUUCUGCUGGGACAAAUGCAGUACCAGCAAGCAAGUAUUUUUUGGAGAAACCAUUAGCUGGUAUUAUAGAUCAAUUAAAACGCCAUCAUUACUGCAGAGUAUGUACUAAGUACCUUGGCACUUCACAAUCACAAGAAGAAACACUUACAUGUGUGUCAUGUUCCUCGUCUAUAACAGUAAAAGACAGUUUACAGGAAUGACAUUUCUUUAUCAGUAUUCCAUUAAAGGAUCAACUGAAGG
rnacentral:lncRNA from 1 species